AGUGAACGCUGGCGGUAGGCCUAACACAUGCAAGUCGAACGGCAGCACAGUAAGAGCUUGCUCUUACGGGUGGCGAGUGGCGUACGGGUGAGGAAUACAUCGGAAUCUACUUUUUCGUGGGGGAUAACGUAGGGAAACUUACGCUAAUACCGCAUACGACCUACGGGUGAAAGCAGUGGAUCUUCGUACCUUGCGCGAUUGACUGAGCCGAUGUCGGAUUAGCUAGUUGGGGGGGUAAAGGCCCACCAAGGCGACGAUCCGUAGCUGGUCGGAGAGGAUGAUAAGCCACACUGGAACUGAGACACGGUCAAGACUCCUACGGGAGGCAGCAGUGGGGAAUAUUGGACAAUGGGCGCAAGCCUGAUCCAGCCAGACCGCGUGGGUGAAGAAGGCCUUCGGGUUGUAAAGCCCUUUUGUUGGGAAAGAAAAGCAGCAGGUUAAUACCCCGCUGUUCUGACGGUACCCAAAGAAUAAGCACCGGCUAACUUCGUG
rnacentral:rRNA from 1 species